rnacentral:rRNA from 1 species
AUGGGGAGGGAAGACGAAACUGAAGGGAACGAGGACAAUGAUGACGAUGAAGAAGAAGAGGACGACGAAAAUGAAGAUGAUGAAGGAGAGGAGGACGAUGACGACGAAGAAGGCGAUGUUGAUGAAAAAGACAAGGAAGAUGAUGGGCAGGGGAAGCAGGAUGAAGAUGAUGAAGAUGACAGCGGAGGUGGCAACGGUAGUUCAGGCAGCAAUGGUGGCUCCGGUCGGGACGAGGAUCCCGCAGCUGAAAACCCAAGCAGCAAUGAUGAUGAACAAUGCACGCUGCAAUUUCUGAUUGAAAAGAAGAAGGACAGAAAGGCAAAAGGAUUGGAUGAGGGAAAUGUGAUGCAGUCAGCCAAUGGUAUCCAGAGGGCCAAGGUGCAAGACUUCAAGGCAUCACCUGAGGCUCGAGCAUUAAAUCAUGCAGGACACAAAAAGGAGAAAGAGAACAUCCCUCCGGUGCUAUGUACGGAGAUCAAUAGGAUACAAGACCUGCCCGAAGCUGUAACCAUGGGAAAAAGUCCGGAACAAAAGUUGCUAAGAGCCCUAGGGAAAUUGCAUGUCUGCUCAACUGUACUUGCCCAACCUGAGGCCACAAGUGUUCUAGAAGCAGUAGAAGCAACUGGCCAGGGGUACACUUACAAUUUCUCUAAUGUGGAGGAGCGGUACCACGAAUUCAUGCGUGUUAGUGGGAAGGCAACCAAUGCACUAGAAAUCAAUGUUCUAGCUGAGAAGUGGGGUCAGGCAGCAAGAUUUACAGCAGUAGUAGCUCAGGAGAGAUGCAUCCACAUCAAUUCGAGAGAAGGAUUAUCAAGCCACCUCCUUGCAAGAGCUGUUGCACAAUGCACUUUCCCCUAG